rnacentral:rRNA from 1 species
AGUGAACGCUGGCGGUAGGCCUAACACAUGCAAGUCGAACGGCAGCACAGGAGAGCUUGCUCUCUGGGUGGCGAGUGGCGGACGGGUGAGGAAUACAUCGGAAUCUACCUUUUCGUGGGGGAUAACGUAGGGAAACUUACGCUAAUACCGCAUACGACCUACGGGUGAAAGUGGGGGACCGCAAGGCCUCACGCGAUUAGAUGAGCCGAUGUCCGAUUAGCUAGUUGGCGGGGUAAUGGCCCACCAAGGCGACGAUCGGUAGCUGGUCUGAGAGGAUGAUCAGCCACACUGGAACUGAGCCACGGUCCAGACUCCUACGGGAGGCAGCAGUGGGGAAUAUUGGACAAUGUGCGCAAGCCUGAUCCAGCCAUACCGCGUGGGUGAAGAAGGCCUUCGGGUUGUAAGGCCCUUUUGUUGGGAACGAAACGGCGACUCCUAAUACGGGUGGCUAGUGACGGUACCUGCAGAAUAAGCACCGGCUAACUACGUGCCAGCAGCCGCAGUAAAAC